CGAACGCUGGUGGCGUGUCUAUACAUGCAAGUCGAGCGAGGCAGCAAUACCGGAGCGGCGAACGGGUGAGUAACGCGUAAGCAAUCUGCCCCGGUAUCAGGAAAUACCCGUGCCAACGCGCGGUUAAUGUCCAGGAGAGUGGCUCCCCGCAUGGGGGAGUUGACUAGAGAUUUAUCGGUAUGGGAUGAGCUUGCGUCCGAUUAGCUAGUUGGACGGGGCAACGGCCCACCAAGGCGACGAUCGGUAGCCGGCCUGAGAGGGUGAUCGGCCACAUUGGGACUGAGAUACGGCCCAGACUCCUACGGGAGGCAGCAGUAGGGAAUUAUUGCACAAUGGGGGGAACCCUGAUGCAGCAACGCCACGUGUUGGGAAGAAGCAUUUCGGUGUGUAAACCACUGUCGUGAGGGAAUAAGGCCUGUUCUAGGACAGGAUUGAAUGUACCUCGAAAGGAAGCACCGGCAAACUUCGUGCCAGCCGCUGC
rnacentral:rRNA from 1 species